UACGGAGGGUGCAAGCGUUAAUCGGAAUUACUGGGCGUAAAGCGCACGCAGGUGGCUGAGUCAGUCGAUUGUGAAAGCCCUGGGCUUAACCUGGGAAUUGCAGUCGAUACUACUCAGCUAGAGUAUGGGAGAGGGCAGUGGAAUUCCCGGUGUAGCGGUGAAAUGCGUAGAUAUCGGGAGGAACAUCAGUGGCGAAGGCGGCUGCCUGGCCCAAUACUGACACUCAGGUGCGACGAGCGGUGGGGAGCAAACAGGG
rnacentral:rRNA from 1 species